rnacentral:rRNA from 1 species
UGCAAGUCGAACGGGACUUGCUUUGUAGCAAUACAGAGCAAGUCUAGUGGCGUAAGGGUGCGUAACACGUGGGGAAUCUGCCGAGAAGUGGGGGAUAGCUCGCCGAAAGGCGAAUUAAUACCGCAUGUGACUAUCGAAGACAUCUUCGAGACGUCAAAGCCGGGGCAACCUGGCGCUUCUUGAUGACCCCGCGGCCUAUCAGCUAGUUGGUGGGGUAACGGCUCACCAAGGCUAUGACGGGUAGCUGGUCUGAGAGGACGACCAGUCACACUGGAACUGAGACACGGUCCAGACACCUACGGGUGGCAGCAGUCGAGAAUUUUUCUCAAUGGGGGAAACCCUGAAGGAGCGACGCCGCGUGGAGGAUGAAGGUCUUCGGAUUGUAAACUCCUGUCAUUAGAGAACAAUGUGCAUUUAUUAACUGUAGAUGCAUUGAUAGUAUCUGAAGAGGAAGAGACGGCUAACUCUGUGCCAGCAGCCGCGGUAAUACAGAGGUCUCAAGCGUUGUUCGGAUUCAUUGGGCGUAAAGGGUGCGUAGGUGGUACCGUAAGUCGGGUGUGAAAUCUCGGGGCUCAACCCCGAAACUGCACUUGAUACUGCGGUGCUCGAGGACUGGAGAGGAGAUCGGAAUUCAUGGUGUAGCAGUGAAAUGCGUAGAUAUCAUGAGGAAGACCAGUGGCGAAGGCGGAUCUCUGGACAGUUCCUGACACUGAGGCACGAAGGCCAGGGGAGCAAACGGGAUUAGAUACCCCGGUAGUCCUGGCAGUAAACGGUGCACGUUUGGUGUGAGCGGAUUCGA